rnacentral:rRNA from 1 species
GACGAACGCUGGCGGCGUGCUUAACACAUGCAAGUCGAACGGCAAGGCCCUGCUUUUGUGGGGUGCUCGAGUGGCGAACGGGUGAGUGACACGAGCGUAUCCUGCCCUUGCCUUUCGGCUCACUUCAGGAAACUGGGACUAAUACCGGAAAGGUGCUCCUGCUGCAUGGUGGGGGCGGGAAAGUUUCGGCGGUUGGGGAUGGAAUCGCGGCUGAUCAGCUUGUUGGUGGGGUAGUGGCUUACCAGGGCUUUGUCGGGUAGCCGGCCUGAGAGUGUGACCGGCCACAGUGGGACUGAGAUACGGCACGGAGCCGUACGGAAGACAGGAGUGGGGGAUAAUGCACAAUGGGCCGAAGCCGGGUGCAGCAACACGGCGUGCUGGAUGAUGGCCUGCUGUUUUGAGGGCGUAUAGGCGUGUGACGGUGCGUGAUUGAAGGUAACGGAUAAAGAAGCACCGGCUAACUACGUG